UUUCCAAUUAAAUUGAUUUGG
ensembl:piRNA 21ur-6667 ncRNA